GUCCACGCCGUAAACGUUGGGCACUAGGUGUGGGUUCCAACCAACGGAAUCCGUGCCGUAGCUAACGCAUUAAGUGCCCCGCCUGGGGAGUACGGCCGCAAGGCUAAAACUCAAAGGAAUUGACGGGGGCCCGCACAAGCGGCGGAGCAUGUUGCUUAAUUCGAGGCAACGCGAAGAACCUUACCUGGGUUUGACAUGUAGGGAAAAGCCGUAGAGAUACGGUGUCCUUCGGGGCCCUACACAGGUGGUGCAUGGCUGUCGU
rnacentral:rRNA from 1 species